CCUGGUUCAAGUCCAGGAUGGCCCAUAUCUCUAUGUUGGGGGUAUAGCUCAGUUGGUAGAGCGCCUGCUUUGCAAGCAGGAUGUCAGCGGUUCGAGUCCGCUUACCUCCACUGAAUACCACCUCUUACAUAUAUUUAAAGAGGGAAAUUGUUUUGAGUCGUGUCCUAUUUUGCUCUGAGCGAAUCUAGCUUCCUAUUUUAUUAAAUAAAUAAGAUGCUGGACUCAUUGAAUUUUUUUCAUUGUUUUCAGAGAACCUUGACAACUGCAUAGAUUAUUUUUGAAGACAAUAAGCAUCUUUAAUGAUGCAGAUUUAUUAUUUGUGCGAAUGCAUUAAAUAACAAUUCUAUUAAGCUGAUGCUUCAAUUAUUGAAGUUAUUGGUCAAGCUACAAAGGGCUCACGGAGGAUACC
rnacentral:tRNA from 1 species